AUUGAACGCUGGCGGCAGGCUUAACACAUGCAAGUCGAGCGGAGAUGAGGUGCUUGCACCUUAUCUUAGCGGCGGACGGGUGAGUAAUGCUUAGGAAUCUGCCUAUUAGUGGGGGACAACAUUCAGAAAGGAACGCUAAUACCGCAUACGUCCUACGGGAGAAAGAAGGGGAUCUUCGGACCUUGCGCUAAAUGAUGAGCCUACGUCGGAGUAGCUAGUUGGUGGGGUAAAGGCCUACCAAGGGGACGAUCUGUAGCGGGUCUGAGAGGAUGAUCCGCCACACUGGGACUGAGACACGGCCCAGACUCCUACGGGAGGCAGCAGUGGGGAAUAUUGGACAAUGGGCGGAAGCCUGAUCCAGCCAUGCCGCGUGUGUGAAGAAGGCCUUUUGGUUGUAAAGCACUUUAGGCGAGGAGGAGGCUACUGAGACUAAUACUCUUGGAUAGUGGACGUUACUCGCAGAAUAAGCACCGGCUAACUCUGUGCCAGCCGCCGCCGUAAAAC
rnacentral:rRNA from 1 species